GGGGAUGUAAAGCAUCGACGUGACCGCUCUUUACCAACUGCAGACUGUCUUUGGCUAAAAGACAUAAAACAGAGCCAACAACACAACUGCCAAUUCAUUGCGCAGCAAAGUUGCGAACUUCAUUGAAUCCGUUCAAUCAAUGUUUGCAACUCCCGCUUUGGCUUACGCCUAAGUGGGCAUUCAAGGGUGCUUUCUAACUGAUGGAGCCCUUUGGGUGACAACCCAAUCAGUUUGCAAGGGAUUGAGUUGCACGGCGGUUCCUUAAAGAUUAGUGCAGGUUGCUUGAGCCAGGUUGGCUUGUUUCCCUCUCAAGUAAUACCCAAAGCAAGCUAAGUCUGUAGAAGUUUGUAAGGCUCGUGUUUACGGACGGGGGUUCAUUGCCCCCCAUCUCCACCA
rnacentral:tmRNA from 4 species